rnacentral:rRNA from 1 species
AUUGAACGCUGGCGGCAGGCCUAACACAUGCAAGUCGGACGGUAGCACAGAGAGCUUGCUCUCGGGUGACGAGUGGCGGACGGGUGAGUAAUGUCUGGGAAACUGCCCGAUGGAGGGGGAUAACUACUGGAAACGGUAGCUAAUACCGCAUAACGCCUUCGGACCAAAGUGGGGGACCUUCGGGCCUCACACCAUCGGAUGUGCCCAGAUGGGAUUAGCUAGUAGGUGGGGUAAUGGCUCACCUAGGCGACGAUCCCUAGCUGGUCUGAGAGGAUGACCAGCCACACUGGAACUGAGACACGGUCCAGACUCCUACGGGAGGCAGCAGUGGGGAAUAUUGCACAAUGGGCGCAAGCCUGAUGCAGCCAUGCCGCGUGUAUGAAGAAGGCCUUCGGGUUGUAAAGUACUUUCAGCGGGGAGGAAGGCGAUGAGGUUAAUAACCGCAUCGAUUGACGUUACCCGCAGAAGAAGCACCGGCUAACUCCGUGCCAGCAGCCGCCGUAA